rnacentral:lncRNA from 1 species
UGAUUAUUAUCUGGAGGUGCAGCUUGCGUUGUUUCCCCCUAGUGGAAAGUACUUCAAUAGGUCAGAAAUACUUGGUUUGCCUGUUAAUUUACAGGAAUCAAUCAAGGAGGAAAUGCCUAAGAGAGUGGUAGGAGAUAUUUAACGUAUAUAAUUGAAAUUGUUAUUUUUCAUUCGUGAGCAAAUUAUUAGAUUUAAAUUGGUUGUGUCACUGUGAAGAUGAUGAAGUCUUCAUAAACAAAAUUCAUGAAUUCCAAAAUAAAAGAUAUAACAAAUGAGAAUGAUUCUUCUCAAGUAAGUCAUUUAAGCUAAUUAUAUUAUAUGUAGUUAUUAGUAUGUGCAUAUAAAAAAAGUUACAUUGACUUGAUUUUUUGGUACUUAUAGAUGGUGGAGGAGACAACAAGGAAGGGAAAGGGAAAGAGAAAAAGGGUGGAAGAAGAGUCCAAUAAGAAGAGUUUUGAAGAAGAUCUAUUCAUGAUGAUGUCGCAUUAAUCAAGUAAAGGCAUUGUGAUCGAUGACAAACGCAACAAGAGAAAUAGUAAUGAGGAGCAUCAAAAGAUAUAUAUUGGUGGUCUUUAUGGAAAAACCAAGAAGGACCUCAAACUCUUCUAUUAAUCUAAGUCUAGAAUCAUUUGUAAGUCUCACUUAACUCAACAGAUGGGUAAUGAUAUAUAUUUCAACAUAAACCUAAAAUCUCAUAUUUUUGCCUAUCAUGUACUGUGUAUAUCUUACUUCUUGCUUUUGCUUUUGAAUAUAAUGAAUGUUUAAUGUUUGGUAACAGAUAAAGGAUGAAGCAUCAUGGAUACUGAAGAAUUUAUCAUAUGAGAAAAGGUAAAAGGCAAUAUAUAUGUACAUAGUUGGGAUGAUAUAUAUAUAUAUGUAUAUAUCUAUAUAUGCGCAUAAACUUAAGUGUUUUUUUUUUAAAUAUAAUCAUGUUUGGUAAUAAAUAAAGAGAAAAGUAUCUGCAAAUGAAAAUUUUAUCAUACCAGAAAGAGAGAACAAUAAUCAAGAUAUGCCCAUAUUUAUAUAUAGUGUUAUAUAUAUAUAUACACAUAUUUAGGUACAAGAACUUAUAGGAGACACGAUUUAGGAUGUAAUUCAUAUCAAUCAAGUAUAAGAACCUAUUGUAAUAUAUAUGCACAUAUUUAUAUAUUACAUAGUUGAUGUUAUAUAUAUGUGUAUUAUUUACAUAUUUGUUGAUAAAAACUAGAGAUCGCAGAGGAUCCCCAAACCAAACCCACGAUACAUGGGUUAACCGUAGAUAAAGGACCGACCUUUUGUGCAUCUUUUACACGUGCUUCACUUCAGCACAUUUCGCACGUGCUUGCAACCAACUCCAACAAAAGAGGUUACCCAAAAUCUCGGCCAAGCUACUCUCCACUUUUAGAUUUUCAGUAUUUAUUUGAUUUUAUUGAUUUGCUUCAAUCUUUAGUUCUUAUCUUAAGUUGUAACUCUGUCUAUUUAAAGGCAGCACAAUUCAUUAAUAAAACAGCUCAUAAUUAUUCAAAUCUUCUGGUAUUUUCUCACAAAAACAGAAAAACCCUUACCCUUUCUUAAGCCUUACCCUUACCCUUACCCUUUUCAUGUCAGCUGAAUGGAGUUGGGCAUGACCGAUAAGUUGCACAUGAUCGAAGGAACUCUUCAGCGAUUGACCGAUGUGGUCGUGUCACUACAAGAAGGCUUCAACAGUAACCUGAUACCUCACCUCAACUUGCCACGCCCCGCUCGAGAUGAGAUCGUCAUUGACGACGUCGAGCGGACCCCCUUUUUCCACAAAUCACUCAAAUUGGAACUACCUACCUUUUAUAAAGGAGACUCGAUUGAGUUGCUGAGCCGAGUUGGCCAGUACUUCAACUUCUAAGGCACCGUCGCACCGCAUCAGGUGGCCUUGACAUCCUACCACCUGGAGGGAGAGGCUAACAUUUGGUGGCAAUGGAUGAGCCGCACCUACAAAGAAGAAAGAAGAGAGGUUUUGUGGACUUGGUUCAUGGACGAGUUAUGGGCCAGAUUUGGGUCGACUGAUUUUGAAGACCCGGACGAGGUCCUAACCUGCAUAAAACAGACAGGGCCUUUGCGUGACUACUAAAGGGACUUUGAGCGCUUAGGCAGUAGGGUCCACGGGUGGACACAACGGGUCUCAGUGGGAGCCUUCAUUGGUGGGCUCAAGCCCGAGAUAGCGAAUGACAUCUGAAUGUUUUGGCCUAGGAUGGUGAAGGGCACAAUUGGGUUGGCCUGAGUAAGAGAAGAAUAAAUGGGUUGACAAAAUAGGCUAACCUAGUCAGGGCGGACCCAACCUGUACAAACCCCUUUGACCUUACCCGAUCAGGCCCUGCGUGCCUUAGUUUCUUCCACAGCUGCUCUCAGAUGCCUCUUUUGGGAAGAGGUGCAGCGCCGACGAACCCAGGGACUGUGCUUCAACUUUAACGAGCGUUUCACAGUGGGCCAUUGGUGCUGAAAGCCCCAACUCCUCUUGCUCGAUGGUGGGCAAGCUGAAGAAGAAUAAGAAGCUGAACCCCACGAGCCUGAUAUAUCCUUGCACGCCCUAACGGGCUGAGCCACCGCUCGCACCAUGAGAGUCGCGACCAUGAUCCGAUAAUAACAAGUGAUCAUGCUCAUUGCUAGCGGGUCCACGCACAACUUUAUUAAUAAAAAGGUGGCCAGUCGACUUUGGCUUCCUGUCAUUCCCACAAAGCCAUUCUCUGUCAAGGUGGCGAACGGUCAUCCCAUGCGGUGCCAAGGACGAUUCAAUGAUAUCCCAAUAGAAGUCCAAGGUAUCCCUUUUUCCCUCACUUUUGUUUCCUUACCACUGACAGGUCUCAAUGUGGAUUUGGAAGUGAAGUGACUAGAAUCGCUCGAACCCGUGGCCUGCGACUGGAAGAGGAUGACCAUGGACUUCUAGUGGCUCAACCAACGGUGCCAGUUGCGCGACCUGGACGCAUUGCCCAUCUGGCCAGUGACACAGAGGGAGAUUGACGGGAGGCUGCAAGUAAACACUCUAUAUGUUAUUUGCUUGCUGCUUAGAGCUAAGGGCGACACCAGGACCGCACAACGGGAGAUACAGCAGCUCUUCGCCGAUUUUUUGGAGCUCUUCUUUGACCUUGAUCAGCUGUCACCAGCCAAGGAGGUGGACCACCAGAUCUGCCUAAAGGAGGGGACCGAGCCGAUAAAUGUCUGGCCAUACUGAUACGCAUACUUUCAAAAAGCUGAUAUUGAAAAAUAGGUAAAAGAGAUGCUUUAAUACGACCUCAUUCGGGCCAGCACCUGAUGCUUUUGUAUCGACUAACGGGCCCUCAACGCGGUCACCAUCAAAGACCAAUUUUCCAUUCCCACUAUAAAUGACAUGUUGGACGAGUUACAUGGGCAGUUUAUUUCACAAAGCUAGACUUGAUCGUAGGGUACCACCAGAUCCGAGUACACCCCCAGAUGUCCACAAAAUAGCCUUCCGGACACAUAAGGACCAUUAGGAAUAUCUAAUAAUGCUUUUUUAUUUUUGCAAUGUAACUUCUACGUUCCAAGCAGUUAUGAACUUAAUUUUUUAUCCUUAUCUACGUAAGUUUGUAUUGGUAUUUUUUUAUGACAUAUUAAUCUACAAUCUAGAUUGGCACUUUCACCAAACCCAUAUUACACAAGUGUUUGAGAUAUUGAAGUUGCACAAGUUCUUUAUCAAGCGUAAAAAUUGGGCAGCAAAAACUGGAAUAUCUU